rnacentral:rRNA from 1 species
AACGAACGCUGGCGGCAUGCCUAACACAUGCAAGUCGAACGAGACCUUCGGGUCUAGUGGCGCACGGGUGCGUAACGCGUGGGAACCUGCCCUUAGGUUCGGAAUAACUCCCCGAAAGGGGUGCUAAUACCGGAUAAUGUCUUCGGACCAAAGAUUUAUCGCCUUUGGAUGGGCCCGCGUUGGAUUAGCUAGUUGGUAGGGUAAAAGCCUACCAAGGCGGCGAUCCAUAGCUGGUCUGAGAGGAUGAUCAGCCACACGGGGACUGAGACACGGCCCAGACUCCUACGGGAGGCAGCAGUGGGGAAUAUUGGACAAUGGGCGAAAGCCUGAUACAGCAAUGCCGCGUGAGUGAUGAAGGCCUUAGGGUUGUAAAGCUCUUUUACCCGGGAUGAUAAUGACAGUACCGGGAGAAUAAGCUCCGGCUAACUCCGUG